GACGAACGCUGGCGGCGUGCUUAACACAUGCAAGUCGAACGGAAAGGCCCCUUCGUGGGUACUCGAGUGGCGAACGGGUGAGUAACACGUGAGUAACCUGCCCUUGACUUCGGGAUAACUUCAGGAAACUGGGGCUAAUACCGGAUAGGAAUACUUGCUGCAUGGUGGGGGUUGGAAAGCUUCGGCGGUUUUGGCUGGACUCGCGGCUUAUCAGCUUGUUGGUGGGGUAGUGGCUUACCAAGGCUUUGUCGGGUGGCCGGCCUGAGAGGGCGACCGGCCACAUUGGGACUGAGAUACGGCCCAGACACCUACGGGACGGAGCAGGGGGGAAUAUUGCACAAGGGGCGGAAGCCUGAUGCAGCAACGCCGCGGGCGGGAUGACGGCCUUCGGGUUGUAAACCGCUUGCAGCAGGGGCGAAGCUUGUGGUGACGGUACCUGCAGAAGAAGCACCGGCUAACUACGUG
rnacentral:rRNA from 1 species